UACGUAGGGGGCAAGCGUUGUCCGGAAUUACUGGGCGUAAAGGGCGCGUAGGCGGCCUUCUAAGUCGAACGUGAAAUCCCCGGGCUCAACCCGGGAACUGCGUCCGAUACUGGAAGGCUUGAAUCCGGGAGAGGGAUGCGGAAUUCCAGGUGUAGCGGUGAAAUGCGUAGAUAUCUGGAGGAACACCGGUGGCGAAGGCGGCAUCCUGGGACCGGCAUUGACGCUGAGGCGCGAAAGCCAGGGGAGCAAACGGG
rnacentral:rRNA from 1 species